UAGGGAAUAUUGGGCAAUGGCCGAGAGGCUGACCCAGCCAUGCCGCGUGCAGGAAGAAGGCCUUCUGGGUUGUAAACUGCUUUUAUCUAGGAAGAAAACGCCCUUGCGAGGGUAACUGACGGUACUAGAUGAAUAAGCACCGGCUAACUCCGUGCCAGCAGCCGCGGUAAUUCGGAGGGUGCAAGCGUUGUCCGGAUUUAUUGGGUUUAAAGGGUGCGUAGGCGGCCCGUUAAGUCAGUGGUGAAAUCCCAGGGCUCAACCCUGGAACUGCCAUUGAUACUGACGGGCUUGAGUUCGGUUAAGGCGGGCGGAACUGGUGGUGUAGCGGUGAAAUGCAUAGAUACCACCAAGAACCCCGAUUGCGUAGGCAGCUCGCUGAGCCGAAACUGACGCUGAGGCACGAAAGCGUGGGGAGCGAACA
rnacentral:rRNA from 1 species